AUCGCUAGUAAAUUUAGUAUAAUUUGCAAGCCGGUACGUCGAGGAAUCGCCGCGUUUCCUGAUUUAGGCCAGGAGAGCAACGUUACCACGUAGGCAGCGACCGCGUGGGGCUCCGCCGACCUGAAGAAGCUAAAGAGGUGACUAGGAGGCGACCACACCACUCGAUCGAGCGGCCUGAGCCAACGCGAAAGGCGCCGACCGAGCCACCAAAGCGGAACCACGUGCGUGGCACGCGGCCCGCAGCAGGGAACGACGACCGCAACUACCAAAGGGACCACGUGGGUGGUACCACAUCCAAGGCAGAAGGAGUGCCCAAGCGAGGGCAAUCACCAAGUAACACCACGCGCACGAGCUUCAAUCGAGAAGGCAAGUGAGCUGGCAAUUCCUAACCUAUUUACCUAAUCUCCCUACCAAAUUUAAUUGUAAUCGUUUAAUCUCCCUACCAAUUGUAAAUUGUAAUCGUUUUCUUAAUCAUGAGUAAUGACACAGAAAAAUCCAAAAUAACUCUAGGGGAGUUAGAAAUUAAACAGUUAAAAUGUAAACGAGGUGUCUAUAAGCGAAAAUUAACUAUAUUUAAGAAAUUCAUAGAAAAUAUCGACACAAGCGCAUUGACGGCCGAAAUAAUUUUAGACGUAAGCUUAAGACUAGAUCAAUUACCAAAGUUAUACCAUGAUUUCUCUGAGACACAGGACCGGAUCGAGACACUGUGCAGCGAGGAAGGUGACAUCGAGGCCCAAGAGGCCGAACGUGAGUCUUUCGAGGACACAUUUUACCGACUUAGCGCUAAGGGCAAGCUGCUGGCGAAAGUAAAUACCGAAUCACCACCAAUUGACCAUAGUCCGCAAGCCCCGCAGCAGCAAACCCUCGGUGAGUCGAUAAAAUAUCCCGAAAUUAGCCUCCCUAGCUUUGAUGGAGACCUAACGCAGUGGCUGCAGUUUCGAGACACAUUUGAUGCUCUAGUCAAUCAAGCUAGCUUGGCACCGAUCGUAAAAUAUAAAUACCUACGCAGUUGUUUACGAGACGGUGCACUCGAGGUAAUUAGUUCGCUCGAUUUCUCCGAGGAAGGGUACACGCUCGCAUGGCAGAUGCUUUGUGAACGUUAUAACAAUCCUAAACGUUUAGUUUCCAACCACAUGCGAGCCUUGUUCGACGUGGAACCGGUACCGUCAACUCCUUCGGGUCUUAGAGGAUUUCAAAAACUUUCUAAAGAACCGAGCUGACCGGCUGGAAGCGACCAGCCCAGCAGUACCAUCGGACGCACCCAGCACUUCCAAGAAGGCCAUGGUAACCACGUCCGAACCUAUUAAGGUAACCUCAAAACAGUUUAAAUCCAACCAGUGCCCGUAUUGUUCGAGUACACAUUAUAUUAAUCAGUGUCCAAAGUUUAUUGCAUUAAACGUUAUCGCGCGAAUCCGAGCCGUGAAUAAAUUACGAUUAUGCUUUAAUUGUUUGUCCGGAACGCAUGUCUUAACAAACUGCAGGGCCAGUACUUGUCGAGUAUGUAAGGGCAAGCAUCAUACGUUACUACACAAACCAAAUACCAACACUCAUGUAGGUAGUAACCCCAUACCAACGCGAUUACCAAUAUCAACAUUAAUCGACGAACAACCGAGUUCUAGUCAAAUCGAGACUACCCUGUCGAAUAACACUAUAAUCGAAAAACAAAUAAACAAUGCGCGAAAUAGAUCAGUUUUCCUCACAACAGCCCAAGUGCUCGUUAGGGAUAAGCAUAACAAUGUGCAUAAACUAAAAGCAUUUUUAGACAAUGGCUCCCAAGAAAAUUUCAUUACCCAAAAUGCGGCAAAAAGGUUAAAAUUAAAUAAGGAACAAAAUGCCUUAAACGUCAUAGGUUUCAAUGAAAAAGUGUCUAGCGUCGUAGAAUCGUGUGACGUAACAUUCCAUUCCUUAGACGGUAACUUUACAACGAAUUUGUUCUGUUUUAUUACGCCUACAAUUUGUACUACCAAUAUCGAAAUACCAAACGUGCAACGUUGGCACAUUCCGUCGCGUUAUAAGUUAGCUGAUGACGAGUUUAACUUAGCUCAAGAUAUAGAUUUGCUUAUCGGUGGGGAGAUAUUCUUCGAUUUACUACUUACCGGUAAAUAUUCGCUCGGGCCCGGAUUACCGGUUCUGAGGCGCUCGCGACUGGGAUGGUUAGUCACGGGUCCCGUACAUAAAAAAUCCGAGUCUGCUAUUCAAUGUAAAAUUACAGUUGAAACGCAAUUAAAAAAGUUUUGGGAAAUAGAGGAGGGUUCCGCACCAAAUUUACCUUAUGAUGAAAAACAAUGUGAGGAUAUAUUUCUGAAAACUCACACUCACAACUCUGAAGGUAAUUUUGAAAUUGAACUUCCAUUAAAGCAACCACCUACCAAACUAGGUCGAUCUAGGCACAUAGCAUAUCGGAGGUUCAAAACUUUAGAAACCAAGUUCGAGCGGAACCCCGAAUUUAAAGAUAAAUAUGUGAAUUUCAUGCGCGAGUUCGAACAAGCUGGCCAUAUGAUUAAAUUACGAGAUAAUUAUGAUGGCCCAUGUAAUUUUCUACCCCACCAAGCGAUUUUUCGCGACUCCCCCUCUACCCCUAUUCGCAUUGUUUUUGACUGCUCAUGCCGCACCGAUAACGGCGUUUCUUUGAAUGAUAUCCAGUACAAAGGCUCAAUAAAACAGGACGAACUCAUAAAUAUACUUCUACGGUUCCGAAAGUACCAAUAUGUUAUUAAUGCCGACAUACAAAAAAUGUACAGAUGUAUUUAUGUGAAACCAAAUCAACAAUACCUACAAUGCAUAUUUUGGCGGGAAAAUACUCACCAACGACUCCAAAUUUAUAUGCUGACCACAUUAAGUUUCGGCUUAAAGUCAGCACCACAUAUAGCAACCAGAUGUUUGUUACAAUUGUCAAACGAGAACCAACACACGUUUCCAGCAGCUGCAGAGGCCAUAGCGAACCAGUUCUACAUGGACGAUUUUAUCGCCGGCGGCGACGACGAGAAUCAGGUAGCUGAAACUGCAACACAGGUGAACGAGAUCCUGCAGGGCGCCAACUUCACGCUGCGGAAAUGGAAGUCCAACUCCGAAGCUGUCAUAAAUCGGGUGAGCGGAACACACACACACCAAAACACAUCUGCAAUCGAAUUUGGAGAUAAAACACAUAAGGUUCUAGGCUUAGCGUGGUCUAGUGACACAGAUAAGCUUAUGUAUACUAUUAAAGAAAACCAAAUUUCACACCCAAUCACCAAAAGAAAGGUACUAGGGGUAAUUUCGUCCAUUUUCGACCCCCUAGGCUUGACGGGACCAGUAAUUGUAGUAGCCAAAAUAUUUAUCCAAAAAUUAUUUAAGGCUCAAUUAGAUUGAGAUACCGAAUUAACACAAGACCUGAUUCAAGAAUGGAACACAUUCUAUCGAGACUUGUUUUUAUUAAACCAAUUGAAAAUUUCGAGAUGUACAGUCAUACCUAAUUAUGUAACGAUACAAAUUCAUGGGUUCUGUGAUAGUAGUAUUAAAGCUUAUGGCGCUGCUAUAUAUAUACGGUCGAGCGAUAGGGUAGGAAACAUUCAAGUUCACCUACUUUACUCAAAAUCCAAAAUUGCCCCAAUUACGUCCCAGACUAUUCCAAAUUUGGAACUUUGUUCAAGUCUACUACUCGCGACACAUGUAGACAAAGUAAAACGAGCGUUAAAAUGUGACAUUUCCAGAAUCAACCUGUGGUCAGAUUCAAAAAUAACAUUAUGUUGGAUUAAAAAUAGUAACCUUAAAUUAACUUGUUUUGUUAGUAACAGAGUCACAAAAAUAUUGUCACUUACAAACAAGCACGACUGGUCCUGGGUCCGCUCGGAGGAUAACCCCGCCGACCUUUUGUCCCGAGGAGUAGCACCAGGCAAGCUGGAAAACAACCAGUUAUGGUGGUCCGGGCCGGCGUGGUUAACUCAAAGUUCGGACACAUGGCCGACCCAGGAUUCUGAGUCACUGGAUCAUGCACCCGAAGCCAAGAGCGACGUCGAUGUAACACUCACCUUGGCUAUUAACACAAAAUCUAACGAUACGAUACAAUAUCUUUUCCACAGGUGGUCAAGCGAUAAAACACUUAUUCAUGUAUUAGCAUACAUACUUCGAUUUAUAUAUAACACAAAAAAUAAAACACGCACAAUUAAUCCAAAUAGAAAGUUAACAGGACCAUUGUCCGUAGACGAGUUAAAAAAAUCGGAUCACACAUUAAUUAGACAUGCACAAAUGCAAUCAUUCCCACACGAAUAUAAAUUGUUGCAAAACAACAAACCGGUUCUUAACAAAUCAAAAAUAUUAUCUUUACACCCAUUCAUGAAGGACGGACUCAUUCGCGUAGGCGGACGAAUCGCUCUUUCACAUUAUGCAUAUGAAAAAAAACACCCUUUAAUAUUAAGUCACGAACACACGCUUACCAAACUACUGAUGGCAAACGCACACAUACGUACUUUGCACGCUGGCCCUCAGUUAUUACUCUCAACUAUUCGCGAGCGCAUCUGGCCAACAAAGGGUAGAAUGUUAGCCUCGAAAAUUGUAAAUAAAUGCGUUCCGUGUUUUAGAGCAAAUCCAAAGACUACUAACCCUAUAAUGGGAAACUUACCCCCCUCGAGGGUAAACCCGUCUCCCCCAUUUGCUAUCACUGGUAUAGAUUAUGGAGGACCUUAUAACAUUAGAGAUAGGACAGGACGUGGUUACAAGGUCUAUAAGUGCUAUAUAGCAGUAUUUAUUUGUUUUGCAACAAAGGCAAUUCAUCUCGAAUUAAUUACAGGGCUCGAGUCGGCUAAUUUCCUGGCGGCGCUGCGACGUUUCAUAGCCAGGAGAGGUAAACCGAAGGAGUUGGACUUCUGGCGGCGCUGGUCACGUGACUACAUCGGAACGCUGCAGGAACGCACGAAAUGGAGGAGCGCGCGCGGCCCAAGCCUCGCAGCCGGCACCGUCGUCCUGGUACGAGAGGAACGCCUGCCCCCCUGCCGGUGGAGGCUGGGCAAGAUCGUCGCGACGCAGCCGGGGCGGGAUGGCGUCACCAGGGUAGCCAUCAUCCGAACCACCAGAGGAGACAUCCAACGCGCGUUCAAUAACAUUUGUCCAUUACCUACUUCGGGUCAAGUUAUAUAAAUAGUAAAUACCUACCAACCUAAUGUAACAUUCAAACAAUUAUAAUUAAGUACCUAAUAAGUAUGAUUAAGUACCUUAAAUACCUUACUUACCUAAUACCUAUGUAUAGAAUUAGAAUACCUACUCCCUAUUUAAAAUAAAAAACAUGUCCUAUUGUUGUUUCAUUUAUAAGAAUGGGCACAGCUCUAAUUUUAAUGUAAGUUAUUACCUAACUAUAAUCCAUAACAAAGAACUCUGCCCAUACUUACUAAUAGGUAAAUACAUAUGUACAAAGCCUAUUCUUUGAAAUACCUAAUGUUACGCAUAAAACAUUAACUAUUUCAAGGGGUGGCAAAAUGUUAAGACCUAUCUUAACAAGUUUAGGUAUUAGAAUACCUAAAUACCUACUUACCUAAUCUAGAUAGAUUAAGUCUCUCUAUCGUCGGUAGGUGGCACCACCUAUGAAAUGUACCUAAUUAAGGUGACAUCUACCGAAACCUUGUGUACUUGCUAUCUAAGCUUAGCCAUAUCAAUGUAUGCAAUAGUUCAUAAACAAUCCAUAGUGUGGCGCUGUACGCGACUAUAUAAGCUUCUACAUGUGUGUAGAUUAAAUCACUUUUCUCAACUAGCCUUCUGUUAACAUUAAAUAUAAAUAUUGUAAUUCUCUG